CCCCUCAAGAUGAGAUUUCCCAAUUAGUAAGACCCCUUGAAGACGACGAGGUAGAUAGGUUGGGGGUGGAAGUGCAGCAAUGCAUGGAGCUGACCAAUACUAAUCGGUCGAGGGCUUAUCCUAAA
rnacentral:rRNA from 1 species